ensembl:lncRNA LINC02593 long intergenic non-protein coding RNA 2593
GCCCAGGCACAGGCCCCAGUGCACAUGCAGAUCCCACCGUGUCUGCACAAGGCCUUGCCCCAACGAGGCCUGGGUGCCGUGUGAGGGCCGGGACGCUAACACAGCGGAGGGUACCCACGCGUGAGCUGCUCUGGGGUCCCUCCCCGUGUUUCUUCCUGUAAUGAAACUUGUACCCAAAUGGGAUAUGCAGGGUUGCACUGUGCAGUCGCUGUGUGUUUUAGGGUCUCAUACCCGUGUGCGCCAGCAGGACCACAGCUGUGACCGGCUGCUCCAGAAGAAGUGGGUGGGUUGAGACCCCACCGGCAGGGUCACUGGGGGUAGCAGGCCCUCUGUCAGCACUGACUUCUGUAUCAUGUCAGGGAUUUUUAGGGCGGCAAGCUCAGGUGGACAGGCAGUUUUAUUCUGUUUCCCAUGUCAAGUCCAGCCCCAGACUGACUUUCUGAGGUCACAGACGGAGCCUCACCCCAUCCAAGGCGGUGUCCUGGACUCCCACUGUGCUCCCCAGAGGGCAGGCGUAACGAGAGGUCAAUAAGAUUAAACGGGGGCUCAGGAGAGGACCAGCGUCAGGCUCACUGCGAGGUGCUGCACAGAAAACCCACAGCCAGAGCCCCUGGGCCCAGCCCAGGCAAG